UAAGACGUAGGGCGCGAGCGUUGUCCGGAUUUAUUGGGCGUAAAGAGCUCGUAGGCGGCUUGUCGCGUCGGCUGUGAAAUCCCGUGGCUCAACUGCGGGCUUGCAGCCGAUACGGGCAGGCUAGAGUUCGGUAGGGGAGACUGGAAUUCCUGGUGUAGCGGUGAAAUGCGCAGAUAUCAGGAGGAACACCGGUGGCGAAGGCGGGUCUCUGGGCCGAUACUGACGCUGAGGAGCGAAAGCGUGGGGAGCGAACAGGAUUAGAUACCCUGGUAGUCCACGCUGUAAACGUUGGGCGCUAGGUGUGGGGGGCCUCUCCGGUUCUCUGUGCCGCAGCUAACGCAUUAAGCGCCCCGCCUGGGGAGUACGGCCGCAAGGCUA
rnacentral:rRNA from 1 species